rnacentral:lncRNA from 1 species
CCGCCCGCACCCUAAGAGGAUCGGGGAGCUGGGCGCAGUGGUCAGGCCUGGAAUCCCAGCAGUCGGGAGGCUGAGGCAGGAGGAUCCCAAGGUCAAAGUCGGCCUCAGCAAAAGUGAGGCCCUAAGCCACUCAGCGAGACUCUGUACCUUAAUAAAACACAAAACAGGGCUGGGGUGUGGCUCCGUGGUGGCCCCUGGGUGCCAUCCCUGGUACCAAGGAAAAAAGGAGCGGGGAAGGGGGGAGGGGACUGGUCCGUGCUCCCGCAGGAACCUGGUGACAGUUUCUCACGGCGUCACAGAAGUGGACGCUGAGGCUGGAAGACGUGAAGUCGCUCAUCUGCUGUCCCGAAGCCAGACCCCCAAGCCCCGCCCUGCCCCAUGCGCCACAGACAGGGACACCGACCGAGGCAUAGAGCAGCACUGUCCCUCCCCAGGGCUCCCCGGGGACAAAGUCCUUGCCCCACCGGCCCCACCUGCCCCUCCCUCUCGCAGCGUCACUCGGGGACUUUCUCACGGGGAGGAAACAGUGAGGCUGGGUUUCGAUUUACUGCCCCCUGCGGCCCUGGGGAGGUUUUCUCCGCCAGCACCUGGAGUGGCGUCUGUCACCGGGGAGACGGAAAACCUGCGGGCUCCAGGGAGGGAGGCGCUCAGGGGUCGGGGACCCUGACCCUGGGUGGCCCAUCCAGUUGACAGCCGAUGCUUACGUGAUGCUGUUCUGCGUUCACAUAUUUUGCUUUCCUCCCGGUGAGCAUGUAGUAAGUGCUCAUCUAGCCAUUUCCACCCCCAGCGGGCCAGCUGUUGACCCCUGGACCUCACCUCAGACUUCUGCGCUCCCGAACACGGAGAAAAGAAAGCUCUGUGGUUUAGGCCAUCUGGGUGUGCUGACUGCAUCCUGACCCCCAGCUCAGGCUGAGGACCUCCUACCCCUGGCUUUCCUUCUCCAGGACCCUCUGGUUCCUUUGUGUUCUCCUGAUGCAUUGUGAGAUUGACUGAUUGAUUGAUUGAUUGAUUUUUGGUACCAGGGAUUAAACCCAGGGGCACUGGACCAUUGAGCCCCAUUCCUAGCUUUUUUUUUUUUUUGUAUUUUAUUUAGAGACAGUUGCUUAGCACCUUGCUUUUGCUGAGGCUGGCCUUGAACUCGUGAUCCUCCUGCCUCAGCCUCCUGAGCCGCUGGGCUGACAGGCAAGCAUCACCACACCUGGCAGGAAUUCUUUAUGUAUGUUUUGGACUCCUUCACGAGUUCAGCUCAGAUGCUCUUGGAUUUACUGUGGGGCUAGGUUCUGGUCCACCCACUGUAAGUUAAAAAUAUCAUAAAUUGAAAAUAUAUCGUGUCCACCUGACCUGCCAAACAUCCUGGCUCAGCCACAGUGCCCUGCAUGGUGUCCAGUUUCUCUCCUCGUGACCUUGAGGUUGCCUGGGAGCUGUAGGUAACUGCUGGUGCCCAACAUCUCAAGAGAGGAUUGUGCCCUCCAUUGCUCGCCCAGAGAAAGAUCGAGCUUAAAAAUUCAAAGUAGAAUUGCUACUGGAUGCAGACUCCUUUUUGCACCAUUGUACAAUCUGAGGACCAUAAGUAUAUUGCAAAUAUCUUUCUCUAGUUUGCAGCUUAUUUUUUCAUUUUCUGCAAAGUGCUUUUUGGUGAACAAUAAGUCCUACUCCUCAGGUAUGCACAUUGAAUUUCAAAUUUUUUUUCAUGCUAGGAUUGAACACAGGGUCACUUUACCACUAGCUCAUCUUCAACUCAUUUUAAUUUUUUAUUUUGAGACAGGGUCUUGCUAAGAUGCUGAGGCUUGCCUCAAACUUGCAAUCCUCCUGCCUAGGCCUCCUAAGUCUUUGGGAUUAUAGGCGUGUGCCACUGUGCCUGUGUGACUAAUCUUUACUUAUUUACACACAAUGCCUGAUGGCUCUUAUUUGGGAAAGUUAUUAUUUUUAUUUCUUACCUCAAGUUUGCUUAUAUUUUCUACCAAGACAUUAAAACUUUAUUUUAUUAUAUUUUUGGAUGGAACCCCCUUAAGCCACAUGGAGUUGGAUUUGGUGUGUGGUGCAAAGUAGGGAAUCAAUGUCAUUGUUUCCCACAAACACUCCCACCUCCCAGAUCCCCUUAUGGAAUAGUCUCUCCUGUCCCCGGCUGGGACAGACUGUGUCCACCUUGCAGCAAAGCUCCUGACUUGCAUAAGGGCUGUCUGUGGGCAUUUAAUUCCCAUCCAUUGGUCAAUGUGCCUCUCCCUCUGGCACUGUCUCUGUGACUUAAUUACAGGGUUUCUAAUUGGUUCUAAUAUGUGGUAGGACCAGUAGGGCCACCCUGUUCUGGAGAAGUGUCCUGGCUACGUGCAACCCUCUGCUCUUCCAGGAAUUUUUUGAAUCCUUUUAUCAAGUUCCAGAGAAAACCCUGUUGUGGUUUUGGUUGGGAUUGUGUUGAAACUACAGAUGGAGAUGACCAAUAUCUUUCUGAACUUGAGCUUUCCUGUCCAUGAGCAUGGUACACCCACCACUCCCUGUCUCCAUGAGCAUGGUACACCCACCGCUCCCUGUCUCCAUGAGCAUGGUACACCCACUGUCUGCAGCCUCAUUGGUCUCUCUCAUCUGCACGCGCUCUCUCUUUCUUUUCUCCCUCUUUCUCUGGAAGAGAUUUUAAGUCUUUAUGGGGAAGGAUGCCCCCAACCCACCUUCCCUAACUGCAGGGAAUGAGACACACUCGAGCAGGACCAGGAGGGUUGGCAGUGGACAUCCCAGUCCAGCCGGCGCCCUCUGUGGAGCUGGCUGGCCAGGUCCUCCUUCACGGUCUGGUCUCCUCCUGAUGCUGCACCACUGUGUUUGCCAUGAGCACUCAGCCCUCAGCCAUGUGGCCCCGACAGAUGGGUCCUGAGUGGCAGGUGCCAGUCUGAGUUCUGACCCAAAAGACGCAGCCUGAGCCCAGAAGCACCCAUACCUUGGCCUUCCAGCUCCCGGAGAAGACGCCCUCGCCCCUCAUUAAUCUCUCUUUUUAUAAAUAAAAGUUUCACUUUGUUUUUAU